rnacentral:rRNA from 2 species
UCAGGAUGAACGCUGGCGGCGUGCUUAACACAUGCAAGUCGAACGGAAAGGCCUGUACUUGUACAGGUACUCGAGUGGCGAACGGGUGAGUAACACGUGGGUGAUCUGCCCUGCACUGUGGGAUAAGCCCGGGAAACUGGGUCUAAUACCAUAUAGGACCACUUCUUGGAUGUUGUGGUGGAAAGCUUUGCGGUGUGGGAUGAGCCUGCGGCCUAUCAGCUUGUUGGUGGGGUAAUGGCCUACCAAGGCGGCGACGGGUAUCCGGCCUGAGAGGGUGUACGGACACAUUGGGACUGAGAUACGGCCCAGACUCCUACGGGAGGCAGCAGUGGGGAAUAUUGCACAAUGGGCGCAAGCCUGAUGCAGCGACGCCGCGUGGGGGAUGACGGCCUUCGGGUUGUAAACUCCUUUCGCUAUCGACGAAGCCACCUUGGGUGGUGACGGUAGGUAGAUAAGAAGCACCGGCUAACUACGUGCCAGCAGCCGCGGUAAUACGUAGGGUGCAAGCGUUGUCCGGAAUUACUGGGCGUAAAGAGCUCGUAGGUGGUUUGUCGCGUCGUCUGUGAAAUCCCGGGGCUUAACUUCGGGCGUGCAGGCGAUACGGGCAUAACUUGAGUGCUGUAGGGGAGACUGGAAUUCCUGGUGUAGCGGUGAAAUGCGCAGAUAUCAGGAGGAACACCGAUGGCGAAGGCAGGUCUCUGGGCAGUAACUGACGCUGAGGAGCGAAAGCAUGGGUAGCGAACAGGAUUAGAUACCCUGGUAGUCCAUGCCGUAAACGGUGGGCGCUAGGUGUAGGGGGCUUCCACGUCUUCUGUGCCGUAGCUAACGCAUUAAGCGCCCCGCCUGGAGACCCGACCUCAC